rnacentral:rRNA from 1 species
CACGUAGGGUGCGAGCGUUGUCCGGAAUUAUUGGGCGUAAAGAGCGCGCAGGCGGUCGUAUAAGUCGAAUGUGAAAGCCCCCGGCUCAACUGGGGAGGGUCAUUCGAUACUGUUCGACUCGAAGGCAGGAGAGGGAAGUGGAAUUCCGGGUGUAGUGGUGAAAUGCGUAGAUAUCCGGAGGAACACCAGUGGCGAAGGCGACUUUCUGGCCUGUUCUUGACGCUGAGGCGCGAAAGCUAGGGGAGCAAACGGG